CACUGACUGAAGUCCUGUCCUGGCUCUUAGCUUCGGGGAUCCGCGACUAUCUGGGGACCGGCUUGCGUAAUGGAAUGUGAAGGUAAACUGCCUUCUCUGAAAAUUUGGGAAACCUGCAAGGAGCUCCUACAGCUGUCCAAACCAGAGCUUCCUCAAGAUGGCACCAGCACCCUCAGAGAAAGCAGCAAACCGGAAGAAAGCCAUUUGCUAGCCAAAAGGUAUGGGGGCUUCAUGAAAAGGUAUGGAGGCUUCAUGAAGAAAAUGGAUGAGCUUUAUCCCAUGGAGCCAGAAGAAGAGGCCAAUGGAAGUGAGAUCCUCGCCAAGCGGUAUGGGGGCUUCAUGAAGAAGGAUGCAGAGGAGGACGACUCGCUGGCCAAUUCCUCAGACCUGCUAAAAGAGCUUCUGGAAACAGGGGACAACCGAGAGCGUAGCCACCACCAGGAUGGCAGUGAUAAUGAGGAAGAAGUGAGCAAGAGAUAUGGGGGCUUCAUGAGAGGCUUAAAGAGAAGCCCCCAACUGGAAGAUGAAGCCAAAGAGCUGCAGAAGCGAUAUGGGGGCUUCAUGAGAAGAGUAGGUCGCCCAGAGUGGUGGAUGGACUACCAGAAA
rnacentral:sRNA from 1 species